UCCGUAGGCGGUGCGGCAAGUCGAUAGUGAAAUCUCUGGGCUUAACCCGGAGGCUGCUAACGAAACUGCCGUGCUAGAGUGUGAGAGAGGCGAGUGGAAUUACGGGUGUAGCGGUGAAAUGCGUAGAUAUCCGUAGGAACAUCCGAGGCGAAAGCGGCUCGCUGGAUCACAACUGACGCUGAGGGACGAAAGCUAGGGGAGCAAACAGGAUUAGAUACCCUGGUAGUCCUAGCCCUAAACCAUCAGGACUUGGGGUUUGCCCUGUACGGGGCAAGUCCCGUAGCUAACGCGUUAAGUCCUGCGCCUGGGGAGUACGGUCGCAAGGCUGAA
rnacentral:rRNA from 1 species